rnacentral:rRNA from 1 species
AUUGAACGCUGGCGGCAGGCCUAACACAUGCAAGUCGAACGGUAACAGGAAGCAGCUUGCUGCUUUGCUGACGAGUGGCGGACGGGUGAGUAAUGUCUGGGAAACUGCCUGAUGGAGGGGGAUAACUACUGGAAACGGUAGCUAAUACCGCAUAACGUCGCAAGACCAAAGAGGGGGACCUUCGGGCCUCUUGCCAUCGGAUGUGCCCAGAUGGGAUUAGCUUGUUGGUGGGGUAACGGCUCACCAAGGCGACGAUCCCUAGCUGGUCUGAGAGGAUGACCAGCCACACUGGAACUGAGACACGGUCCAGACUCCUACGGGAGGCAGCAGUGGGGAAUAUUGCACAAUGGGCGCAAGCCUGAUGCAGCCAUGCCGCGUGUAUGAAGAAGGCCUUCGGGUUGUAAAGUACUUUCAGCGGGGAGGAAGGGAGUAAAGUUAAUACCUUUACUCAUUGACGUUACCCGCAGAAGAAGCACCGGCUAACUACGUG